GAUAUCAACUGAAAAAGUCAUCAACAACAAAGUUGAAUAACUCAUCAAGAUCUAAAACUUUUAUUUUGGUCAUUUCUUCAUACGACAAAGUGAUAGUAACAUUGUUCACAAAAUUGACAUAUCUCUUAUCUGAUUUAAAAACUAUAACACAUAUAUGUAAAAUUUGCGAAUAAUAUUACUAACAUUUUGUUGGAUGAAAAAAUAACAAAAAUAAAAGUUUUAGAUCUUAGAUGAGUUAUUCAACUUUGUUGUUGAUGACUUUUUCAAUUGAAAUC
rfam:Oryza sativa Japonica Group DNA, chromosome 12, cultivar: Nipponbare, complete sequence.